ensembl:lncRNA
CCAGGAUGGAGAACAGGGGUCAGGAUGGAGAACAGGGGUCAGGAUGGAGAACAGGGGUCAGGAUGGAGAACAGGGGUCAGGAUGGAGAACAGGGGUCAGGAUGGAGAACAGGGGUCAGGAUGGAGAACAGGGGUCAGGAUGGAGAACAGGUGUCAUGGUGGAGAACAGGGGUCAGGAUGGAGAACAGGGGUCAGGAUGGAGAACAGGGGUCAGGAUGGAGAACAGGUGUCAGGAUGGAGAACAGGGGUCAUGGUGGAGAACAGGGGUCAGGAUGGAGAACAGGGGUCAUGGUGGAGAACAGGGGUCAGGAUGGAGAACAGGGGUCAUGGUGGAGAACAGGGGUCAGGAUGGAGAACAGGGGUCAGGAUGGAGAACAGGGGUCAUGGUGGAGAACAGGUGUCAGGAUGGAGAACAGGGGUCAUGGUGGAGAACAGGGGUCAGGAUGGAGAACAGGGGUCAGGAUGGAGAACAGGGGUCAGGAUGGAGAACAGGGGUCAUGGUGGAGAACAGGGGUCAGGAUGGAGAACAGGGGUCAGGAUGGAGAACAGGGGUCAGGAUGGAGAACAGGGGUCAGGAUGGAGAACAGG